rnacentral:rRNA from 1 species
AGUGAACGCUGGCGGCGUGCUUAACACAUGCAAGUCGAAUGAGAACGGAUUAUAGCUUGCUAUAAUUGUCAGCUAAGUGGCGCACGGGUGAGUAAUGUAUAGGUAAUAUGCCUCUUACUAAGGGAUAACAAAUGGAAACGUUUGCUAAUACCUUAUACUCCUUAUUAACAUAAGUUAAUAAGGGAAAGAUUUAUUGGUAAGAGAUUAGCCUGUAUUGUAUCAGUUAGUUGGUGGGGUAAUGGCUUACCAAGACUAUGACACAUAACUGGUUUGAGAGGAUGAUCAGUCACACUUGAACUGAGACACGGUCCAGACGCCUACGGGAGGCAGCAGUGGGGAAUAUUGCACAAUGGACGAAAGUCUGAUGCAGCAACGCCGCGUGGAGGAUGACACAUUUCGGUGCGUAAACUCCUUUUAUAUGAGAAGAUGAUGACGGUAUUAUAUGAAUAAGCACCGGCUAACUCCGUGCCAGCCGCCGCAGUAA